UAGGUGAAUACCUAAGGACUCAAAGAUGAUGAAGGGCGUUUAAACCUGCGAAAAUUUCUAGUGAGCUGGAAAAAAGCAUAGGCGAAAGCCGUAUCCGUAUCUAGAAGUUCCCGAAUAGAGCAAUCUUUCAAACUACUGAAUGAAUUCAUAAUUCAGUAAGAAAAAACUUAGUGAACUGAAACAUCUUAUUAACUAAAGGAAAAAAAAGCAAAAUGCGAUUUCCUGAGUAGCGGCGAGCGAAACGGAAGCUGCCUAAACUCAGACUAGUCUGAGUGUUGUGGGAUUCAAUAAAAAAAAUGGAAAAGAGAAAUUUAAACAGCUGAAACCUGUACCAUAGAUGGUAAAAGUCCAGUUUUUUUCUGUUUUGUUUUUUUUGAGAUUUUCCCAAGUAGCUUGGGACACGUGAAAUCCCUUGUGAAUCAACGAGGACCACCUCGUAAGGCUAAAUACUCUUGAGUCACUGAUAGUGAAAAGUACCGUGAGGGAAAGGUGAAAAAGAACCCCUGGAGGGGAGUGAAAUAGAUCAUGAAACCUGAAGCAAUCUAUCUGUGGGAGGAGGAAACUCUGACCGCGUGCCUGUUGAAGAAUGAGCCGGCGACUCAUAAUUUUUGGCGAGGUUAAAGAAAUUUUCUGAAGCCAGAGUGAAAACAAGUCAAAAAAGGGCGUUUUGUCAAAAAUUAUGGACCCGAACCCGUUGUGAUCUAACCAUGACCAGGAGGAAGCGGAGGUAAAACUUCGUGGACGUCCGAACCGACCAAUGUUGAAAAAUUGCCGGAUGAGUUGUGGUUAGGGGUGAAAUGCCAAUCGAACACGGAGCUAGCUGGUUCUCCCCGAAAUGCGUUUUGGCGCAGCAUUUGUCGAUGAACUAUGAAGAGGUAGAGCUCUGUUUCGGUACGGGCCAGUCAAAUGGUACUAAAUUGUUGCAAACUCCAAAUUCUUGAUAUGUUACCGACAAAAAGUGAGACUCUGGGGGAUAAGCUCCAGAGUCCAAAGGGAAACAGCCCAGACCAUCAGCUAAGGCCCCUAAAUAAUCGCUAAGUGUUAAAGGAAGUCUUAAUGCUGAAACAGCCAGAAGGUUCGCUUAGAAGCAGCUAUCCUUUAAAGAAUGCGUAAUAGCUCACUGGUCCAUGAAAGCGUUCAGGCGCCAAAAAUGUAUGGGACUAAGCGAUUUGCCGAAGCUAUGGGAGAUGAACUUUCUCGGUAGGGGAGCGUUCUGUUAAUAGAGGUGAAGUCUUUUUGAAAAAAGAGGUGGAUCAAACAGAAGUGAGAAUGUUGGCUUGAGUAACGCAAACAUUGGUGAGAAUCCAAUGCCCCAAAAACCUAAGGUUUCCUCUACAAGGUUCGUCCAUGGAGGGUUAGUCAGGACCUAAAAUUAGGCUGAAAAGCGUCAUUGAUGGAAAACAGGUGAAUAUUCCUGUACUCAUUGAACUUGGGUGACAAAGGACGAAGAAGGCAAUAAACGAUGGCGUUUCUGGUGGUCAUGGAAAUGUUGACCCAAGAUCAAAGAAAAAAAAUUUUGAUCGAUUUGGAAAGACAUGAACCAGCAUUUUUUUUCUAAAAAAUGUUCGAUCAACUGUUGUCAGACUUCCAAGAAAAUUUUGUGACACUGAACAAUUUCAAUGACCUGUACCUUAAACCGACACAGGUAGGUGCGUUGAGUAUACGAAGGGGCGCGAGAAAACUCUCUCUAAGGAACUCGGCAAAAUAGCCCCGUAACUUCGGGAGAAGGGGUACCUUGAAGGAGACUUUCCUUACAAAGGUCGCAGUGAAUGGAUUUAUCGAACUGUUUAUCAAAAACACAGGUCUCUGCAAAGUCGUAAGACAACGUAUAGGGGCUGACGCCUGCCCAGUGCCGGAAGGUUAAAGAAAUUGGUUAACGCUGAUAACUGAAGCCCCGGUGAACGGCGGCCGUAACUCUGACGGUCCUAAGGUAGCGAAAUUCCUUGUCACGUAAGUUGUGACCCGCACGAAAGGCGUAAUCAGAUAAAUACUGUCUCAGAGAGAGACUCGGUGAAAUAGACAUGUCCGUGAAGAUGCGGACUACUAAUAGUUAGACAAAAAGACCCCGUGAAGCUUGACUGUAUCUUAAUAUUGGCUUCCAAUUAUUUGUGUGCAGUCUAGGUGGGAGGUGAUGAAAUUCAAUCAUUGAAUGGAGCCGGCAUUGAGAGACCACCCUCAAAUAACGAGAAUUCUCAAAGUGUUUCCUUUGAUCAGGACACUUGACAGUGUUAGGAGGGCAGUUUUUUUGGGGCGAAAAUCUCCUAAAAAGUAACGGAGGUUUGCAAAGGUUCCCUCAAACUGGACGGAAAUCAGUUGUUGAGUGUAAAGGCAAAAGGGAGCUUGACUGUGAGACCUAUAAGUCGAACAGAGGCGAAAGCCGGCCUUAGUGAUCCGACGGUGACCGUGUGGAAGGGCCGUCGCGCAAAAAAUAAAAGUUACUCCGGGGAUAACAGGCUCAUCUCCCCCAAGAGUUCCUAUCGACGGGGAGGUUUGGCACCUCGAUGUUGACCUUUCGCAACCUGGGGCGGUAGUACGUCCCAAGGGUUGGGCUGUUCGCCCAUUAAAGCGGAACACGAGUUGAGUUCAGAACGUAAACUCAUUGCGUUAACAAUUCGUAAGAGUUGUUGAGUAUUGGCUUAUAUCGGUGAAACCUUCUUGAGAGCUUUUUUUGAAAGCUUUUUCAAUGGUAAUACCGAGGGAAGAAGGAAAAAAAUGAACAAAAAUAUUAAGCUUACGAGUGAAGAAAUCGCCUAUAUUGCUGGGUUUUUCGAUGGCGAUGGUUGUUUAUUAGCACAACUUGUUCGACGUAAAGAUUAUCGUUUUGGUUAUCAAAUACGUUUAAGUAUUUAUUUUUAUCAAAAAACAAAACGUUAUUGGUUUCUUUUAUGGUUAAAAAAGAAACUCCAUUAUGGGACACUUCGACAAAGAAAAGAUGGCGUAUCUCGUGAGACAGUUUGGUCUAUAUCUGCUAUUAGCGUUAGAAUAUUGAAAGGAGUUUUCCAUAAUACGAGAGGACUUGGAAGAACAUACCCCUGGUGUACCAGUUCUUAUACCAAUAGGAUACGCUGGGUAGCUAUGUAUGGAGAAGAGUACCGCUGAAGGCAUCUAAGUGGGAAGCUCACCUUAAGAUGAAUAUUCUCAAAAAGAUUCCGGCAAGAUCAGCCGGUCGAUAGGUUUUAGGUGUAAGGUUCGUAAGAAUUUUAGCCAAGAAAUACUAAAAAUCGAUUGUUUUUGAU
rnacentral:rRNA from 1 species